AGUGAACGCUGGCGGUAGGCCUAACACAUGCAAGUCGAACGGCAGCACAGUAAGAGCUUGCUCUUACGGGUGGCGAGUGGCGGACGGGUGAGGAAUACAUCGGAAUCUACUUUUUCGUGGGGGGUAACGUAGGGAAACUUACGCUAAUACCGCAUACGACCUACGGGUGAAAGCAGUGGAUCUUCGGACCUUGCGCGAUUGAAUGAGCCGAUGUCGGAUUAGCUAGUUGGCGGGGUAAAGGCCCACCAAGGCGACGAUCCGUAGCUGGUCUGAGAGGAUGAUAGGCCCCACUGGAAGUGAGACACGGUCCAGACUCCUACGGGAGGCAGCAGUGGGGAAUAUUGGACAAUGGGCGCAAGCCUGAUCCAGCCAUACCGCGUGGGUGAAGAAGGCCUUCGGGUUGUAAAGCCCUUUUGUUGGGAAAGAAAAGCAGCAGGUUAAUACCCCGCUGUUCUGACGGUACCCAAAGAAUAAGCACCGGCUAACUUCGUG
rnacentral:rRNA from 1 species